AUGAUAGUAUUUGCAUGUAUGUUUAUUUUCUUUAAUAGUUAAUAAAUUUUAUUAGAAUCUCAGUAACUAAUAUUACUAAUUAAGGAGUCUUAGAAGUAGCUAUAUUAUUAAGUAUUGGCUAAAUUUGUGCCAGCAGCCGCGGUUAUACUAAUAAUGCAAACAAAAUUUUAUUGGGUAAAGUUAGAUUGUUUUAUAUUAAAAUUAAUAUAUAUUUAUUAAGUGAAAUUUUUAAAUGUAUUAUACUUUAUUUAUUUAUAUAUUGAGGCUUUUAAAUUUCAUUUGUAAACUAGGAUUAGAUACCCUAUUAUUUGAAAUGUGAAUGUUAUUUCCUAGGUAGUAGUAGUUAUGUUCUUGAAAUCUAAAAAAUUUGGCGGUAUUUCAGUCUGUUCAGAGGAACCUGUCCUGUAAUCGAUAAUCCACGUUGGACCUUACUUUAGCUUGUUUAGUUUAUAUACCGUCGUUAUUAGAAUAUUCUAUUAGGAUAAUAAUUUUCUUUAAUUUAUUUAAAAUUUAUAUCAGAUCAAGGUGUAGCUUAUGCUAAAGUAGAGAUGGGUUACAAUAAAUUUAUUUAUACGGAUUUUAAAUUUAAAUAUUUUAAUUAAGAUGGAUUUGAUAGUAAAAUUAUAUAGAUUGUUAGUUUGAUUUUAGCUCUGAAAUAUGCACACAUCGCCCGUCGCUCUUAUUAUUAAGGUAAGAUAAGUCGUAACAUAGUAGAUGUACUGGAAAGUGUAUCUAGAAUG
rnacentral:ncRNA from 1 species